UACGUAGGGUCCGAGCGUUGUCCGGAGUUAGUGGGCGUAAAGCGCGCGCAGGCGGCGGUAUAAGCAUGGCGUGAAAGCCCCAGGCUCAACCUGGGAGGGUCGUCGUGGACUGUACCGCUUGAGGGCGGUAGGGGCUGGUGGAAUGCCUGGUGUAGUGGUGAAAUGCGUAGAGAUCAGGCGGAACACCCGUGGCGAAGGCGGCCAGCUGGGCCGUCCCUGACGCUGAGGCGCGAAGGCGUGGGGAGCGAACGGG
rnacentral:rRNA from 1 species